CUGGUUAAACAGGGCAUUAAAAAUAAAUGAAUUUUACAGCUUGAUUUUAUUUCAUUUGAUGCAGGUGUCAAGAGUUUCUCAACACACAGUUCAUAAAUUUCCCAAAGGCGUUUGCAGAAUGAACUGUGUGACACGGCUCCCCUCUAGAUUACGUGUAAUGGUGGUUACAUUUGUAGGGAAAACUUUACAACCAAACCAAUAUGUCACAAGAACUGCAUGUCAAAAUUUCUGAACAGUGAAGUAAAUGUUUGUUUGUGAACGAAAAGACAAUUAUUACCAAAGAGAUUAGUCAUUGCAACAAAAUAAAAUAACAUUUUCUUUUGGCGCUUACUUGGUCAUUUCAGCACUGAUGGCGUUAUCAAAUAAUCGUUGAUUAGUUUGAUUUUACCUAAGACUUAUAGAUUUAUUUAUUUAUUUUCGAAAGAUGUCAAUAAGGAGUAAAUGCCAAUGAUUAAUACAUGGUAAGUUAUUACUGUUGUCAAAAUAAUUAAUGCUUUCACGUAAUUGAUAGAAAAAAUAUAUAUUUAAAGAUGUUCAUUUGCAUCAAAUCCACACUCGCCCAAAUGGUUGUCCUUCCUGCAGCCUCUCCUGACCAAAACAAGCUGCUGCCGGAAGUUUUAAACUCUGCUAUAGCAUAGCGAGUAAAUCAACAAAUAACUUAUUCGACCAACUUAAGCGGACAAGCCGAACGCAGCAGCGUUGCUCCAAGAAAAUAAUGCUGAGUGAUGCUACAAGCUAAUGCUAUGAAACGGAUGUUUAACAACAACUUAAAAAGGGGUCAUCGAGUGUGCAUCACUUUCAAUACAGCCUAACCCACUGACCCAGCUGGCAUGUCCUGCCGGUCCAUCCUGGCGGACAGAGACACCGGAAACUCCCAGGAGCCUCCUGACAAGUCGCUCCACGUCCGCAGGGGUUGCGAUCACAUUGCCGCACCGCUGGGAUGAGAAAGAGAGAACAACAUUUCGUUCGUGAGCUGCUGGUCUGGGUAAGGGGAAUGCUUCCCAUGUGUGCGGAAUCGACAAUCACCGUCUGCACAGGUGUUUCCGGUCCAGCCUUCGGGGCAGACGCAGCUGAAGC